rnacentral:misc_RNA from 1 species
CAAGGAGCAUAAAACCUCCCUAAACCCACUGUGAACGUACCUGUUCUGUUGCCUAGGCAGGCGGCCCCUGGGAGGGGUCCUGGCCCUAGCGGGUGUCUGCCAAAGGCCGCUAAAACUCUUGCUAUUUUAUGUUAUCUGAGUCGCUAUAAGCAAAAAAUUAUUA